UACGGGGGGGGCAAGCGUUGUUCGGAAUUACUGGGCGUAAAGGGCUUGUAGGUGGCCAACUAAGUCAGACGUGAAAUCCCUCGGCUUAACCGGGGAACUGCGUCUGAUACUGGAUGGCUUGAGUGUGGGAGAGGGAUGCGGAAUUCCAGGUGUAGCGGUGGAAUGCGUAGAUAUCUGGAGGAACACCGGUGGCGAAGGCGGCAUCCUGGACCAUUACUGACACUGAUAAGCGAAAGCCAGGGGAGCAAACGGG
rnacentral:rRNA from 1 species